rnacentral:rRNA from 1 species
UGAUAUGGAUCUUGAUGAGUGGCGAACGGGUGCGUAACACGUAAGAAUCUGCCUUUAGGAAGGGGAUAACAUUUAGAAAUAUUUGCUAAUACCCUAUAUGCUUCACAGUGAAAGAAUUUAUUCGCCUAAAGAGGAGCUUGCGUCUGAUUAGCUAGUUGGUAGGGUAAAGGCCUACCAAGGCGACGAUCAGUAGUUGGUCUGAGAGGACGGCCAGCCACAUUGGAACUGAGACACGGUCCAGACUCUUACGGGAGGCAGCAGUGAGGAAUUUUCUGCAAUGGGCGAAAGCCUGACAGAGCAAUACCGCGUGAGGGAUGACUGCCUACGGGUUGUAAACCUCUUUUCUCAAGGAGGAAGAUCUGACGUUACUUGAGGAAUAAGCAUCGGCUAACCCUGUGCCAGCAGCCGCGGUAAUACAGGGGAUGCAAGUGUUAUCCGGAAUUAUUGGGCGUAAAGCGUCUGCAGGUUGAUCUAUAAGUCUUUUGUCAAAUCUUUGGGCUUAACCCAAAAACAGCAAAAGAAACUAUUUAUCUUGAGU